UACGUAGGGGGCUAGCGUUGUCCGGAAUCAUUGGGCGUAAAGCGCGUGUAGGCGGUCCGGUAAGUCCGCUGUGAAAGUCGGGGGCUCAACCCUCGAAUGCCGGUGGAUACUGUCGGGCUAGAGUGCGGAAGAGGCGAGUGGAAUUCCUGGUGUAGCGGUGAAAUGCGCAGAUAUCAGGAGGAACACCAAUUGCGAGGGCAGCUCGCUGGGACGUUACUGACGCUGAGACGCGAAAGCGUGGGGAGCAAACAGG
rnacentral:rRNA from 1 species